rnacentral:rRNA from 1 species
CCUACGGGGGGCAGCAGUGGGGAAUAUUGCACAAUGGGGGAAACCCUGAUGCGGCGACGCCGCGUGAGUGAAGAAGUAAUUCGUUAUGUAAAGCUCUAUCAGCAGGGAAGAAAAUGACGGUAACUGAGUAAGAAGCCCCGGCUAACUACGUGCCAGCAGCCGCGGUAAUACGUAGGGGGCAAGCGUUAUCCGGAUUUACUGGGUGGAAAGGGAGCGUAGACGGCAGUGCAAGUCUGGAGUGAAAGGCGGGGGCUCAACCCCCGGACUGCUCUGGAAACUGUACGGCUGGAGUGCAGGAGAGGUAAGUGGAAUUCCUGGUGUAGCGGUGAAAUGCGUAGAUAUUAGGAGGAACACCAGUGGCGAAGGCGGCUUACUGGACUGUAACUGACGUUGAGGCUCGAAAGCGUGGGGAGCAAACAGGAUUAGAUACCCCUGUAGUC